UACGGGGGGGGGCAAGCGUUUGUUCGGAAUUACUGGGCGUAAAGGGUUUGUAGGUGGCUUGUUAAGUCAGACGUGAAAUCCCUCAGCUUAACUGGGGAACUGCGUCUGAUACUGGCGAGCUUGAGUGCAGGAGAGGAACGCGGAAUUCCAGGUGUAGCGGUGAAAUGCGUAGAUAUCUGGAGGAACACCGGUGGCGAAGGCGGCUUCCUGGACCGACACUGACGCUGAGGCGCGAAAGCUAGGGGAGCAAACGGG
rnacentral:rRNA from 1 species